GCUGCGAUAGUUUAAUCAUAAAACACUAGUUUGUGAAACAAGAAAUGGAACUCAGNUUCCCCACAGCCG
rnacentral:tRNA from 1 species